rnacentral:rRNA from 1 species
AGCGAACGCUGGCGGCAGGCCUAACACAUGCAAGUCGAACGGAACCUUCGGGAUUAGUGGCGGACGGGUGAGUAACACGUGGGAACGUGCCCUUUGGUUCGGAACAACUCAGGGAAACUUGAGCUAAUACCGGAUGUGCCCUUCGGGGGAAAGAUUUAUCGCCAUUGGAGCGGCCCGCGUCUGAUUAGCUAGUUGGUGAGGUAACGGCCCACCAAGGCGACGAUCAGUAGCUGGUCUGAGAGGAUGAUCAGCCACACUGGGACUGGGACACGGCCCAGACUCCUACGGGAGGCAGCAGUGGGGAAUCUUGCGCAAUGGGCGAAAGCCUGACGCAGCCAUGCCGCGUGAAUGAUGAAGGUCUUAGGAUUGUAAAAUUCUUUCAGCGGGGACGAUAAUGACGGUACCCGCAGAAGAAGCUCCGGCUAACUUCGUG